GCUCGUAGUUGGAUUUCGGGUGUAAACUGCCGGUCCGUCUUUGAUGUGUACUGUGUGGUUGCCCCUUAUUGUCCAGGACGUGCUUCUGGCUUUGAUUGCCUGGGACACAGACUCGGAUGCGUUACUUUGAGAAAAUUAGAGUGUUCAAAGCAGGCUAUCUCUCUGAAUACUACAGCAUGGAAUAACACGAUAGGACUCAGAGCCUAUUCUGUUGGUCUUCGGGACCAGAGUAAUGAUUAAGAGGGACAGGUGGGGGCAUUCAUAUUCCGAUGUCAGAGGAGAAAUUCUUGGAUUAUCAGAAGACAAAUAUCUGCAAAAGCAUUUGCCAGAGAUGUUUUCAUUACUCAAGAACAAAAGGUGGGGGCUCGAAGAAGAUCAUAUACCUUCCUACUCUCCCCCAUAAACUAUGCCCACUAGGGAUUGGGAGAUGUUUUUUUUAAGACUCCGUCCGCCCCUUAAGAAAAAUCAAAUUUUUUGGUUUCCGGGGGGAGUGUGGUCGCGGGGCUGAAUUUUAAGGGAUUUGAGGGAGGGGCCCCCCCGGGCGAACCCUGAGUAAUACUAUGAAAGUAUUUUAUGCAACUUACAUACUCUUAUGCCUGAAAACCGUGAGCUUCUCUUGCUCCUUCCUUAUGCCCGGGGCCUCCUUCAAGGGAAGGUAGAAAGGUGGUGAAGACCCUGUUCUAUCGGUUAGUCCGCGCCACCAAUUUUCGCAUCGGGUGGUUUUGCGGGCGAGACUUCUGAAAAUUGCGGGAACCUCUC
rnacentral:rRNA from 1 species